GGAAACCGCAAGGCUCCGCUAGCAACUCCGGCUGCUACACGGAACCGGUGCGCGCACCCACGGUUUACACGAAGCCACGCGGCCCGGCCGCGACAUGGCUGCCGUGCGCGCAGCCCCACGCCUCCGUUCCUUCCCCCUCCUGCUCCGCGGGCCAGACGCCGCCGCCGCCGCCGCAGCAGCCCGCCGUAGUCUCUCCUGCGCCAGCGCAUCCCCCGCCCCGAGUCCUUCACCCCCGCGCGCCAUGUCGUCCCUGUCCUCUCCCUCAUCCUCGACCCCCACCCCGUACACGACGCUCGUGGGGCGCGUGAGCUGCGAACGCGAGAUCAAGCGCAGCAAGUUCAUCGCCAUCGCCGCCCCCGUCCCCAACGAGCGCGCGGCCAUGGCCUUCCUCGACGAGGUCAAGGAUCCACGUGCCACCCAUAAUUGCUGGGCGUAUAAGCUGGGAGAGCAAUUCCGUUACAAUGAUGAUGGUGAACCUUCUAGCACUGCUGGGAAGCCAAUAUACUCUGCCAUCAUUUCCUCUGGAGUUGAUAUGGUCAUGGUGGUUGUGAUUAGAUAUUUUGGAGGCAUAAAAUUGGGAACGGGUGGGCUGGUGAGAGCUUAUGGCGGGGUUGCUUCUGAAUGCCUUAAAGAUGCUCCUACUAUUCUUGUGAAACCACAGGCUCGUGUGGGUAUGGAGGUGCCGUUUGAUCUGUUGGGCACAGUCUAUCAUCAGCUACAACAUUUCCAAGCUGAAGAUAUUAAACAGGACUACGACACUGGCAAAGAUGGUACAGUCAUGGUCAUGUUCAAAGUGGAACAUGAAAAAAUUGAGAAUCUUGGGAAUGCAGUGAAUUCAGCUUGCAGCAGGAAAAUAGAACUAUUUAUAUAAACGGUAGGCAGGGGACAAGGAUGAUUUUUGAGUUUCAGAGUUUGAGUGGCAAAAAAGUGCCAACUUUGUUUUUCCUCGCAAAGAAAUUGGCAAUUGGUAAAGCUGCAGUUAGUGGAGUCAUGCAAGCACCAGAAAUAUUCAGCCCCUUGUUUGCGGUAACUGCUACGCCGUAUUCAAUCAACCCAGUGUACGGUCCUGCUCUGCAGAUGUGAUUGUUCAUCCCAACGGUAAAGAUGUAUUAGCUUAAUUUACAUGAUGUGUACCAUAUCUAAUGUAAGCUACCAUUUCUGAAGGUAGGUAGUGUUUGGUUGGUAGGAUGUCUCUGGAUGGGAUGAUCCUAUCCUAUUUUCUUAGACGUUUAGUUAGAGGAUGAGGGGAUAGGAUGGCUUAUAUAGAAGAAUAUUCCUUUAGAUGUUGGAUGACAGGAUUCUAGAAAAUUUUCUAGACGCAGUAGUCCUACUUAGGACGUGAGAAUGAUGGUGGGUUCGAGAUUGUAAAAUGGUUCGUUCUAUUUCAUCUAUCAAAUAAGCAUUUUGAAUCA